UUCGCAAUGCCCGAAAGGGUGACGAAGCGACGCCGCGUGUGGGAAGAAGGCCUUCGGGUUGUAAACCACUGUCGGGAGUUAAGAAAUACAAGGAUAUUAAUAGUGUCUUUGUUUGACUAAGGCUCCGGAGGAAGCCACGGCUAACUCUGUGCCAGCAGCCGCGGUAAUACAGAGGCGGCAAGCGUUGUUCGGAAUUAUUGGGCGUAAAGAGCACGUAGGCGGCUAUGUAAGUCGGUUAUGAAAGCCUUCCGCUCAACGGAAGAACAGCAUCCGAUACUACAUGGCUUGAGUGCGGGAGGGGAGAGUGGAACUUCUGGUGGAGCGGUGAAAUGCGUAGAUAUCAGAAGGAACGCCGGCGGCGAAAGCGGCUCUCUGGCCCAUAACUGACGCUGAGUGUGCGAAAGCUAGGGGAGCAAACGGGAUUAGAUACCCCGGUAGUCCUAGCCGUAAACGAU
rnacentral:rRNA from 1 species